GACGAACGCUGGCGGCGUGCUUAACACAUGCAAGUCGAACGGAAAGGCCCUGCUUUUGUGGGGUGCUCGAAUGGCGAACGGGUGAGUAACACGUGAGUAACCUGCCCUUGACUUUGGGAUAACUUCAGGAAACUGGGGCUAAUACCGGAUAGGAGCUCCUGCUGCAUGGUGGGGGUUGGAAAGUUUCGGCGGUUGGGGAUGGACUCGCGGCUCAUCAGCUUGUUGGUGGGGUAGUGGCUUACCAAGGCUUUGACGGGUAGCCGGCCUGAGAGGGUGACCGGCCACAUUGGGACUGAGAUACGGCCCAGACUCCUACGGGAGGCAGCAGUGGGGAAUAUUGCACAAUGGGCGGAAGCCUGAUGCAGCAACGCCGCGUGCGGGAUGACGGCCUUCGGGUUGUAAACCGCUUUCGCCUGUGACGAAGCGUGAGUGACGGUAAUGGGUAAAGAAGCACCGGCUAACUACGUG
rnacentral:rRNA from 1 species